rnacentral:rRNA from 1 species
CCUACGGGAGGCAGCAGUAAGGAAUCUUGCGCAAUGGGCGAAAGCCUGACGCAGCGACGCCGCGUGGGCGAUGAAGGCCUUCGGGUUGUAAAGCCCUUUUCUGGGGGACGAGGAAGGACGGUACCCCAGGAAUAAGUCACGGCUAACUCCGUGCCAGCAGCCGCGGUAAUACAGAGGGUGCGAGCGUUGUUCGGAAUUAUUGGGCGUAAAGCGCGUGUAGGCGGUUUGUUAAGUCUGAUGUGAAAGCCCCGGGCUCAACCGGGGAAGUGCAUUGGAUACUGGCAGACUUGAGUACGGGAGAGGAGAGUGGAAUUCCCAGGGUAGGAGUGAAAUCCGUAGAUAUUGGGAGGAACACCGGUGGCGAAGGCGGCUCUCGGGACCGAUACUGACGCUGAGACGCGAAAGCGUGGGGAGCAAACAGGAUUAGAUACCCCUGUAGU